rnacentral:rRNA from 1 species
CCUACGGGGGGCAGCAGUGGGGAAUAUUGCACAAUGGGGGAAACCCUGAUGCAGCGACGCCGCGUGAGCGAUGAAGUAUUUCGGUAUGUAAAGCUCUAUCAGCAGGGAAGAAAAUGACGGUACCUGACUAAGAAGCCCCGGCUAACUACGUGCCAGCAGCCGCGGUAAUACGUAGGGGGCAAGCGUUAUCCGGAUUUACUGGGUGUAAAGGGAGCGUAGACGGUCCUGCAAGCCAGAUGUGAAAGCCCGGGGCUCAACCCCGGGACUGCAUUUGGAACUGUUUCCCUUGAGUGUCGGAGAGGUGAUCGGAAUUCCUUGUGUAGCGGUGAAAUGCGUAGAUAUAAGGAAGAACACCAGUGGCGAAGGCGGAUUACUGGACGAUAACUGACGGUGAGGCGCGAAAGCGUGGGGAGCAAACAGGAUUAGAUACCCCUGUAGUC